rnacentral:rRNA from 1 species
AUUGAACGCUGGCUGCAGGCUUAACACAUGCAAGUCGAGCGGAGAUGAGGUGCUUGCACCUUAUCUUAGCGGCGUACGGGUGAGUAAUGCUUAGGAAUCUGCCUAUUAGUGUGGGACAACAUUCCGAAAGGAAUGCUAAUCCAGCAUACGUCCUACGGGCGAAAGCAGGGGAUCUUCGGACCUUGCGCUAAUAGAUGAGCCUAAGUCGGAUUAGCUAGUUGGUGGGGUAAAGGCCUACCAAGGCGACGAUCUGUAGCGGGUCUGAGAGGAUGAUCCGCCAGACUGGGACUGAGGCACGGCCCAGACUCCUACGGGAGGCAGCAGUGGGGAAUAUUGGACAAUGGGGGGAACCCUGAUCCAGCCAUGCCGCGUGUGUGAAGAAGGCCUUAUGGUUGUAAAGCACUUUAAGCGAGGAGGAGGCUACUGAGACUAAUACUCUUGGAUAGUGGACGUUACCCGCAGAAUAAGCACCGGCUAACUCUGUGCCAGCCGCCGCUGUAAAAC